GACGAACGCUGGCGGCGUGCUUAACACAUGCAAGUCGAACGCUGAAGCACCAGAUUGCUGGUGUGGAUGAGUGGCGAACGGGUGAGUAAUACGUGAGUAACCUGCCCUUGACUCUGGGAUAAGCACGGGUAACUGGGUCUAAUACUGGAUGCUACAUGUCACCGCAUGGUGGUGUGUGGAAAGGGGUUACUGGUCUUUGAUGGGCUCACGGCCUAUCUGCUUGUUGGUGAGGUUAUGGCUCACCAAGGCGACGACGGGUAGCCGGCCUGAGGAGGUGACCGGCCACCCUGGGACUGAGACACGGCCGAGACGCCUACGGGAGGCAGCAGUGGGGAAUAUUGCAGAAUGGGCGAAAGCCUGAUGCAGCGACGCCGCGUGAGGGAUGACGGCCUUCGGGUUGUAAACCUCUUUAAGCAGGGAAGAAGCGACAAGUGACGGUACCUGCAGAAGAAGCGCCGGCUAACUACGUG
rnacentral:rRNA from 1 species